rnacentral:piRNA from 1 species
UGGAAAGCUGACUGGGCCAUGGGCCUUGUU